rnacentral:rRNA from 1 species
UACGGGGGGGGCAAGCGUUGUUCGGAAUUACUGGGCGUAAAGGGCUCGUAGGCGGCCAACUAAGUCAGACGUGAAAUCCCUCGGCUUAACCGGGGAACUGCGUCUGAUACUGGAUGGCUUGAGUUUGGGAGAGGGAUGCGGAAUUCCUGGUGUAGCAGUGAAAUGCGUAGAUAUCAGGAGGAAUACCGAUGGCGAAGGCAGGUCUCUGGGCUGACACUGACGCUCAUGCACGAAAGCGUGGGGAGCAAACAGG